rnacentral:rRNA from 1 species
AUUGAACGCUGGCGGCAUGCUUUACACAUGCAAGUCGAACGGUAACAGGUUAAGCUGACGAGUGGCGAACGGGUGAGUAAUGCAUCGGAACGUGCCCGGUCGUGGGGGAUAACGCAGCGAAAGCUGCGCUAAUACCGCAUACGAUCUGAGGAUGAAAGCGGGGGACCGUAAGGCCUCGCGCGAUCGGAGCGGCCGAUGUCAGAUUAGGUAGUUGGUGGGGUAAAGACUCACCAAGCCAACGAUCUGUAGCUGGUCUGAGAGGACGACCAGCCACACUGGGACUGAGACACGGCCCAGACUCCUACGGGAGGCAGCAGUGGGGAAUUUUGGACAAUGGGCGAAAGCCUGAUCCAGCAAUGCCGCGUGCAGGAAGAAGGCCUUCGGGUUGUAAACUGCUUUUGUACGGAGCGAAAAGGUCUCCUCUAAUACAGGGGGCUCAUGACGGUACCGUAAGAACAAGCACCGGCUAACUACGUGCCAGCAGCCGCGGUAA